GUGCACUGUGGCACAGUUGGUAGCACUGUUGCCUUGCAGGGUUAGGGUUAGGGGUUAGCACUGUUGCCUUGCAGCAGAAAGGUCCUGGGUUCAAUUCCUGGCAUGGACU